UACGGGGGGAGCAAGCGUUGUUCGGAUUUACUGGGCGUGAAGGGCGCGUAGGCGGCCACCGCAAGUCGACUGUGAAAUCUCCGGGCUUAACCCGGAAAGGUCAGCCGAUACUGCGGGGCUAGAGUGCAGAAGGGGCAACUGGAAUUCUCGGUGUAGCGGUGAAAUGCGUAGAUAUCGAGAGGAACACCUGCGGCGAAGGCGGGUUGCUGGGCUGACACUGACGCUGAUGCGCGAAAGCUAGGGGAGCGAAUGGG
rnacentral:rRNA from 1 species